GCAGCACUGUUGACAGAGCCGACUUGACAGAAAGCCUAGUAAAGCAGAGAGGGCGUGGGGAGUGGGGGAGGUUUGUUGUGGCGGAGCUUGGAAACUGACUCUUGUUCUCAGGGAGACACAGGAAGGCAUCAUCUCAGGGAGACAGAGCUACUGCGUGCUAAGGCAGAAUUAGUGCCGAUCUUGGAGCAGAGGUUGAGACACAGGCCUGGAACCUCUUCAAAGCACCUUUCAUUGCACUGGAUCUUAUAUGUUGUCUUUCCGUAUAAACAUAUGGAGAAAAGAAUGUCUGGCCCAGCUUUCUUAGCCACUCAUGAAGAUUUCAGAUGCCCUGCUCAGCCAUGGGUCAGCUGCCCCUGGAAUUCAGGAGGGUAGCUCUCAGGUUGAAUCUGGGGAGCCAAUACAGAUCUGUUCCUAAUGCAUGCUCUAGAUCAGGGCUUCACCGCUUCAACCCUCCAGCUGUUUUUGGACUGCAACUCCCAUCAUCCCCAGUCACAGUAGCCAAUAGUCUUGGGUUGUGGGCAUUGUAGUCCAGCACUUGCAGGAGGGCCGCAGUUGUGCAGCCCUGCCCUAGAUUUAUGUAUGUCUUCACUGGAGGUUCUUCAAAACAUCAGUGUAAAUCCCUACUAACUAGGCUAAGAGAUACCUUUUAAAGUGAUAUCUCUUAUAUUUGACAGAGGAGAGAGCAAUUAUUCCUCUUCAGUCCGGCAUAGCAUCCUUCCAGAGGCUGUUCCUGGUGAUGGUGAUGGUGUGUGUGUGUGUGUGUGUGUGUGUGUGUGUUUAGACUGCGAGUUCUUUUGGGACACUUCUGUGUGCAUGCGUGUGUGUUGUAUUUUGUUUUUGUUAAUGGUGAGUCCUUUUGGAACAGGGAACGAUUCUCUCUCUCUCUCUCUCUUUCUCUCUCUCUCUCUCGCUAUGUAAAUCAACAACUUUGUGUGUGUGUGAAAAGCAAUAUAGAAGUAUUUUUAAUAAUAGUAAAGUCACGUAUUUCAUGAAGCAAGCUCAUUUUGUUUGCCCAUUUGGGUAUUCAACAUCCCGAGUUGAAUACUAACUGCUAACUUGGCAAAGAGGCACCUUUUGACGUGGUGAUUCUCUUUAUUUAGCAGGAGGAGAGUAACUGGCCCUCUCCAUCCCCAGCACAGUACCUCCAGUGACUGGUGCUGGUGUCUAUCUUAUGUUUCUUUUUAGAUUGUGAGCCCUUUGGGGACAGGGAGCCAUCUUACUUGUUUGUUAUUUCUCUGUGUAAACCGCCCUAAGCCAUUUUUGGAAGGGCGGUAUAGAAAUUGAAUGAAUGAAUGAAUGAAUGAAUGAAUGAAUGAAGUUUGUAUGGGUAAUCUUAGCUAAACAGAGUUUGUAUUUUUAGAUUCACAUGGCAGCUUCACAUGACCACCGGCCAGUCCGGUCAGUGCCUAGGAAAAUGUUGGGCACUGUGAGCAUGUACUCCUGAUGGGCAUGUCAUGCCUAAAUCUGAUUCCUGAGCUGCCCACCCAAACAGCUACUGAUUUUCUCCACCCAGUUUCAGCACUUGAAUCCAAAUGAGCAGAGAAUGUCUAGCGAAAGCUGACAGAUGGACAGCUUGGGAACCAAACAGGAGCAUAGGAAGCUGCCUUAUACUGAGUCAGACCAUUGGUCCAUCUAGCUCAGUAUUGUCUACACAGACUGGCAGCAGCUUCCCCAAGGUUGCAGGCAGGAAUCUCUUUCUCAGCCCAUCUUGGAGAUGCCAGGGAGGGAACCUGGGACCUUCUACAUGUAAGCAGGCAGGUGCUUUUCCCAGAGCAGCCCCAUCUCUUAAGGGGAAUAUCUUGCAGUGCUGACACAUGUAGUCUCCCAUUCAUAUGCAAUCAGGGCAGACCCUGCUUAGCAAAGGGGACAAGUCAUGCUUGCUACCACAAGAUCAGCUCUCCUCAUUUGAGACCAGGGGUUGCUUGCUAACCCUCUAGGAUUGGCAUCAGUCUCCGGGUGACUCUUGAAAGCAACCUUGCAGAGUGUAAUAGCUUGAUAUUGUUAAAAAUGUUGGUGAGGGGGGAAGGGUUAUAUUCAGGAAAGCUUCAGUCAGAGUUGGCAUCCCUACUGGAGAAUGAGGGGAUGGGGGCAACUAUUUUUUAAUAUCUUACAUCUAUUUCUAAAAGAUCUGGAAACAUUAUAAUCCAUAUGGAUGCAGAGUGUCUUGUGGUAGCAAGCCUGACUUGUCCCCAUAGCUAAGCAGGGUCUGCCCUGGUUGCAUCUCAAUGGGAGACUGGAUGUGUGAGCACUGUAAGAUAUUCCCCUCGGGGGAUGGAGCUGCUCUGGGAAGCGCAGAAGGUUCCAAGUUCCCUCCCUGGCUUCUCCAAGAUAGAUUCCUGCCUGCAACCUUGGAGAAGCUGCUUCCAGUCUGUGAAGACAAUACUGAGCUAGAUAGACCAAUGGUCUGACUCAGUAUAUGACAGUUUCCUAUGUUCCUAUGUUCCUAAGAGAGUCAGGGUGACCUGAAAUCUGAAGAGGGGGAGCCGAAGGGGGCCAGCCCUCACAAUUAACCCCAUGUAAGUUAAUGGGGUUGAGUAUGUGUGGGCUCAGUACAGUUAACAGACAAAUGGUGGGGAAGGGAAGCUUGGAACAAAAGAGAGCAGGAAAUGUCUCAGCUUGAGGAAUACUCUCUCAAGACAGCCACAAUUCCUUCUGCUUGUGAGGGGGGAAUAAAUCUACAUCCUUUACUUUUCUUACCUGCCAUUUCCCAGCUUCAUACUUUGGCUGGGGGGGAGGGGUCUAUUUAAGCUCUUGGUGUGUGUAGUUAACUCCCCAGCAAAAUAAGAUACAAACAACUGUAUGUGAGUGAACUGCUGAGAAAGAGUGGACAGUUGCACACUGAAUCUGUUGAUCUGCUAAUUAUUGGAUGGGGAAACUCACAAUUAUAUCUAAAUUAAUAUGUCAGUUUAGAAAGGUCAAAGAAUCAUCUAGAGCAGGAACUGCUUUGAUUAUAUGUUUGUUUUUACUGACACAAGGUUUUAAUUAUUAUUAAAAAUAUUUAUAUAUUGCUUUUCAACAAUGUGAUAGAGAUGACUUUCUUGAAACGUAGUUACCGUUUCUUCCUUACGUUACAAAAAUGUAUGAGACCAUUAAGAUUCAGUUCAAUACUUAUUCUGUGAAGUGGUAAUUGAAUAUAAUAUAUAAGGUAAUAAACAUUUGUUUUUUGUUUGUAAAAGGAACAUUCUUUAAUAAAAUUUAUUUUUAAAAGGUA